CUGGCUCAGGAUGAACGCUGGCGGCGUGCCUAAUACAUGCAAGUGAAACGGGUAUCUUCGGAUACCAGCCGCGGACGGGUGAGUAAUACAUAGGCAACCUGCCUUUAUGAGGGGGAUAACCGAGGGAAACUUUGGCUAAUACCGCAUGAAGACUCUAAGGCAUCUUAGAGGGAUAAAAGUUGGGAAACAACGCAUGAAGAUGGGCUUAUGGCGCAUUAGCUAGUUGGUGAGAUAGAAGCCCACCAAGGUAAUGAUGCGUAGCCGACCUGAGAGGGUGAACGGCCACAUUGGGACUGAGACACGGCCCAAACUCCUACGGGAGGCAGCAGUAGGGAAUUUUCGGCAAUGGGGGGAACCCUGACCGAGCAACGCCGCGUGAAAGGAAGAAGGUUUUCGGAUUGUAAACUUCUGUUAUAAGGGAAGAACGGAUUGGAUAGGGAAUGAUCUGAUAGUGACGGUACCUUAUUAGAAAGCCACGGCUAACUACGUGCCAGCAGCCGC
rnacentral:rRNA from 1 species